CCCGACUCCUACGGGAGGCAGCAGUGGGGAAUAUUGCACACUGGGGGAAACCCUGCUGCAGCGACGCCGCUUGAGUGAAUACGUCUCUCGGUACGUCCCGCUCUAUCCGCCUUUAAGAUAAUGCCGGUACCUGACCCCUUCUCCCCGGCUCCCUCCGUGCCAGCCGCCUCGGUAAUACUUCUUGGGCAAGCUUUCUCCGGAUUUACUGGGUGUAAAGGGGGCGCAGACGGCAAUGCAAGCCAGGAGUGAAAGCCCGGGGCCCAACCCCGGGACUGCUCUUGGAACUGCAUGGCUGGAGUACAGGAGGGGCAGGCGGAAUUCCUAGUGUAGCGGUGAAAUGCGUAGAUAGGAGGAGGAACACCGGUGGCGAAGGCGGCCUGCUGGACUGUGACUGACGUUGAGGCCCGAAGGCGUGGGGAGCAAACAGGAUUAGAUACCCUCGUAGCG
rnacentral:rRNA from 1 species